AAUGAACGCUGGCGGCAGGCUUAACACAUGCAAGUCGAACGCCACGCAAGGGGAGCGGCAGACGGGUGAGUAACGCGUGGUGAUCAGCAUAGUGGUACGGAACAAAACGGGGAAACUCGUGCUAAUACAGUAUAAGUACUACGGGAGAAAGAUUUAUCGCCAUUAGAUGAACCCGCGUCUGAUUAGCUAGUUGGUGAGGUAACGGCUCACCAAGGCGACGAUCAGCAGCUGGGCUGAGGGGAUGAUCAGGCACACUGGGACUGAGACACGGCGCAGACUCCUACGGAAGGCAGCAGUGGGAAAUAUGGGACAAGGGGGGCAACCCUGAUCCAGCCAUGCCGCGUGAGUGAUGAAGGCCUAAGGGUUGUAAAGCUCUUUCGCUAGUGAAGAUAAUGACGGUACCUAGAGAAUAAGCCCCGGCUAACUUCGUGCCAGCAGCCGCCGUAACAC
rnacentral:rRNA from 1 species